rnacentral:rRNA from 1 species
GUUUAGGUACCUGCGGAGGGAUCAUUA